AGCGGCGAACGGGUGAGUAAAAUCUGGGUAUCUGCCCGAGGGAGGGGGAUAACUAUUGGAAACGAUAGCUAAUACCGCACGAUGUCAUUUUUUGAUUAAAGCAGGGGACUUUUUGCUAUUAUAUGAUAGUAAUUGGCCUUGCGCCAUCGGAUGAGCCCAGAUAGGAUUAGCUAGUAGGUAAGGUAAUGGCUUACCUAGGCUGUGAUCCUUAGCUGGUCUGAGAGGACGAUCAGCCACACUGGAACUGAGACACGGUCCAGACUCCUACGGGAGGCAGCAGUGGGGAAUAUUGCACAAUGGGGGAAACCCUGAUGCAGCUAUACCGUGUGUGUGAAGAAGGCCUUCGGGUUGUAAAGCACUUUCAAUAGGGAAGAAUUUAAUAUUGCUAAUAUCGGUAUUAAUUGACGUUACCUAUACAAGAAGCACCGGCUAACUCCGUGCCAGCAGCCGCGGUAAUACGGAGGGUGCAAGCGUUAAUCGGAAUUACUGGGCGUAAAGAGUACGUAGGUGGUUUUUUAAGUCAGAUGUGAAAUCCCUGAGCUUAACUUAGGAACUGCAUUUGAAACUGAUAAGCUAGAGUUUCGUAGAGGGGGGUAGAAUUCCAGGUGUAGCGGUGAAAUGCGUAGAGAUCUGGAGGAAUACCAGUGGCGAAGGCGGCCCCCUGGACGAAGACUGACACUAAGGUACGAAAGCAUGGGGAGCAAACAGGAUUAGAUACCCUGGUAGUCCAUGCCGUAAACGAUGUCGAUUUGAAGGUUGUAUCCUUUGAGUUAUAACUUUCGUAGCUAACGCGUUAAAUCGACCGCCUGGGGAGUACGACCGCAAGGUUAAAACUCAAAUGAAUUGACGGGGGCCCGCACAAGCGGUGGAGCAUGUGGUUUAAUUCGAUGCAACACGAAGAACCUUACCUACUCUUGACAUCCAAAGAACCAUGUAGAGAUAUGUGGGUGCCUUAGGGAGCUUUGAGACAGGUGCUGCAUGGCUGUCGUCAGCUCGUGUUGUGAAAUGUUGGGUUAAGUCCCGCAACGAGCGCAACCCUUAUCCUUUGUUGCCAGCGAGUUAAGUCGGGAACUCAAAGGAGACUGCCGGUGAUAAACUGGAGGAAGGUGAGGAUGACGUCAAGUCAUCAUGGCCCUUAUGAGUAGGGCUACAAACGUGCUACAAUGGCGUAUACAAAGAGAAGCGAUCUUGUGAAAGUUAGCAAACCUCAUAAAGUACGUCUUAGUUCGGAUUGGAGUCUGCAACUCGACUCCAUGAAGUCGGAAUCGCUAGUAAUCGUGGAUCAGAAUGUCACGGUGAAUACGUUCCCGGGCCUUGUACACACCGCCCGUCACACCAUGGAAGUGGGUUGCAAAAGAAGUGAGUAGUUUAACCUUU
rnacentral:rRNA from 1 species